AAAGGUCAACAACAUUGCUGUGGGUUUGGAGUCACAUGCAGACCAGAGCAUGUAAGGAUGGCAGUUAUCUCCCCAAAAGGACAUCAGAGAACCAGGCAAACAGAGAGUAUUCUAUCAAACCUUAAUUCUCCUUGAAGAUGGUGGACAAGCUCUGCGGCAUUAGGAGAGUAUCAUCUGACCAGACUCAAGCAAAAAAGCUGGAUAUCAGGGUAUCUCGACAAGAAAACCAAGAGCAAGCACCUGGCAGAUUCAGCUCACCACCCGCUCUGAAAGACUUGCAUGUCACCAACAUCUGAGGCACACUCCAUUGGGACCAGCCACAGGUAUCUCUGUAUCCACGGAUAUUAGCAUCUGACAUGUGCCUCUACAAGCUCUCAAGGCACAAAUCCAAUCAACUUCUCAAUGCUUCUGCACUUCAAUGCUAUACCUCACGCUGCACCAGCAGCUGUCAUUGUGAUGCUGCAGCAAGGACACUGUGUGCUCAGGGACAUGCACACAGCUCAUUGACAGGACCAGGCUGCGUGUUAAUGGAAUAGCACACAGUCAGUCUGAGCCUACCUGGAUACUCACAGCAUCCCCACUUUGCAUUGCCUUGCCUUGACUUUGUUCCUGCUGUCUUGCUGCACUGUUUAAUGUAGACAGGAAGCUUGGCAUGGUUGUCAGGAGGCCUCAGUCAAGUCAGUGGAAAAAGCCUUUAUUUGGGGCACAUUAAGUCAAAGACAGCCUCCAAAACCAGUCCAGGAGAUUCAUCGUCUGGAUUCUCUCCACAUAUGGGGUGGCACGGUGGCUCAGUGGUUAGCACUGCUGCCUCACAGCGCCAGGG